GCAAAAGGACCCAGUUGUGUGUGGGAGGGGGCGGGGAGUGGAAAAAAGAAUGGACACACAUACCCAGAGUUGUGUUUUUGGAGUUUGCUAUCCCAGAACCACAAGGCCAGCUUAUUCUCUGCAUAGCAACAUGCUAGACAGAGACAGCUGCAGAGCAGAGAAUGCGUUAUCUUCCGUAUGGUCAGUACUGAGCAUGGGCAGAUUAGUGGUGAGCCAGAGCAUGACCAAUGUCCUCCCAUCUCAGUGUCCACUGUGUAUGGCCAAUGCAGAUGAUGGGAUGUAUUAUCACAAUCAUUGUUGUUGGAGGGGAACUUCAAAUGGCUCCUGUCCCCUUUGUUCCUUCACCUUCUCCCUCUCCCAUUAUCUGACAGUCAAUGGAAUUUACAGCCUAGCUCCCAGACAGCUACAGGGCUGAUCUAUUUUAUCUCACAUGCUUUGAACAGGAUCCUAGCUGCAUCAGCUGCCCAUCCCUGCCCCAGCUGUGUUAGCAAAGCUGUCCCUCCAUGUCCCUGUGAAGGACGAUCCAGCGGGCCCUUUCCUCCUGCAUGUGACUAACCCUUCUCCACCCUCUCCCCACCAAGUGGACUGUUGCCUCGUGCUGGCGUCGUGGGACUGUGCUUCCGGCUGCCAUGUAGCGAGAGGCCAGAGUUUGUCAGACAAGCAAAGAGAUAUGAUGAAUCUUUGAUCCCGACAUGAGUGGUGCCAGCCAUCUCUCUGGUGUUUGCACUCAGACAACCAGAAGACCAAAGAAAGGCAAGAAUAAUAAAUAAUGGUAUUGUCUUCA